AGAAGGCAUGGCUGCCUCUUCGCCAAAGUUCAAGUCAAAACGACGGUCGGAUGGGCCAGACAUUCACAGAAAUGAUGAAGGAGAAAUGAGAUACAAUAAAUCUUUGAAGUAAGGGGAAAAUUCCUACAAGCAAUAACUCUUUGAAUGUACUUCUUGCACACAAUUGGUGACCUUAUAAAAGAAAGAGCAACAGGGCCGUUGGUUCAAAAAUCGAAGAGGCACCACUCUCCGGAUUUCGAAGAGGCACCACUUUCACACGCAACAUCAGCUUCUCGGGUAC
rnacentral:lncRNA from 1 species